GCUGAGAAACAAAACUUGGGGGCGGUGCAGCAGCGCGGGGCUGGGCCCAACCGGGCUGAGGGAGGAGCAGAGGAAGGGGGAAGGGGGAGCAGGGGGGGAGACUGGAGGGGGAGGAGGGAGGGGCCGGCGCCGGCUUUAGCUGCGGCGACGGCGGCAGAGGAGGAGGCCCGGGCCGGGCGGGCAGAUCGGAGCGUCUGGGCCAUCCGGGCCCAGCGCAGCCCAGCGCGGCGGAGCCAUGAAACCUUCUAUGAUGCUACGUGGAAGACUCCAAAAGGUAUCUCUUAUCUACCUUGGCAGAAGGGAAGGGAACUAGCAUUUAUUCAGCACCUACUAUGUGCCAGGCACUGUGCUAAGACCUUUACAAGAAUUUUCUCAUUUUUCAAUGCUAUUAUUAGUGCCAUUUUACAGUUGAAGUUAUUAAAAUUUGAGGAGACCUGAAGACCAGUUGAUUGACAUGUCCAGGGUCACACAGCUAGGACGGGUCCAAGGCCAAAUUUGAACUCGGGUCUUCCUGAUUCUAGGACCAGAGGUCUAAUUGCUGUGCCGCCAGUUUCCUCAUCUUAGAAUGCCCAUUACCAAUGAAAUGAUCUCUAGCCUAUUUCGCUUCUAUCAGUUCUCCUGUUCCUCCAACUUGGCCCCUCAGCCCCCUGUUAGACGUCGUCCUAGGGCACUUCCUUGGCUUUGGGUCUGAAAAAAGAGCUUGGGUAGAAAUUGUGUCUGGAGCUGAAGAUCUUAGCCAUGGAAUGGGAGUUGGGGGUCAGUUAAUGACAAUAAGAGACUUGGGUUCUAGUUCUGGUUUUGCCACUCACUAGUUAUAAGAAAUUGGACAAAUCACUCCUUGUCUCUGAUCCUCAAGCUAUCUCCUCUGUACAAAUGAACUAAGGUGUUUAAAUCAGAGUGGCACAUUAGAGGGCCCUUAGUCUCGACCCUCCCCCCAUUUUAUAGAUGGGUAAACUGAGGCCCAAGGGGGGCAGUGGAUAUUGGAUAGGGUAGUCAGGAAGACCCAAGUUCAAAUUUGGCCUCACAUACUUGUUAGCUGUGUGAUUCUAGGCAAGUCAUUUAACCCUGAUUGCCUCAGUUCCUUAUCUGUAAAAUGAGCUGGAGAAGGAUAUGGCAAAGCACUCCAGUAUCUCUGCCAAGGAAACCCCAAAACAGAGUCACCGAAGAGGCUGAAAUGAAUGAACAGCAAUGAGCUGAGGCCCAGAGAGGCGAAGAGACUUGCUUUUAUCUGGUUUGGGUGCUCAUCUGUUUCACACUGAUAGUAACUGAGUGAAGUAUUCCAAAGGAGGAUUCCUUCCACUAGCCCAGGCUAUCUCGAGAUGAUCUCUGAAGGCCCUGCCAAACCCAACAGUCUUUGGCAGCUCAUCUGUGGCCCAACCAAGGUCCUGGAAUUAGGAAGUGGUGACUUCGAAUCCAGCCUCAGACAUUUCCUAGCUGUGUGAGCCUGGGCAAGUCAUGUGUUUCCUUAACUGUAAAAUGGGGAUAAUAGUACCUCCUUUGAAGGGAUGUCUUAAUUAGAACAGUGACUGGCAGGUAGUUGGGGCUAUAUAAAUGCUUAUUCUUUCUCCUUCUCUAGAGAUCAUGUUCCAGUUUCCAGAUUUAUUAACUUUGUGAUCAUUGUUAUUGCGGAGUCUUUUCAGUCUUGUCCAACUCUUCAUCCCUUUUGGGAUAUCCCUUUGGGAUAUUACUGGGAGUGGUUAGGAGUACAGCUGGAGGGCUCGAUGGAUUGAGUACCUAUUUGCAAAAGGUCCUGGGUUCUAAUCUGGUCUCAGACACUUCAUAAGUGUAUGAUCCUGGGCAAGUCACUUAGUCCCCAUUGCCUAGCCCUUGUGCUUUUCUGCUUGGAACCAAAACAAGUUAUUGAUUCUAAAAUGGAAAGUAGGGAUUUAAAAAAUAAAAGGAUACUGGAGUGGUUUGCCA
rnacentral:lncRNA from 1 species